rnacentral:lncRNA from 1 species
CUCUGCGUGCGCCGGAGGCUGCCGUGGCGGGUGGGCCGCCUGACUUCUCCUCCCGGCCAGUUCUCGAGCGCCUCACCGGGCCUCGCCCUGCAGCCUCGCUCUCGCUGGCGCUGCGCGGCCUAGGGGACUGGGCUGCUGGCCUCCGGGUGCGGGGUGGGGGCAGGCUCCGACCUGGGGCGUCCUGGCCGCGCGAGCCGCGGGAUGGGGGCCCGGGCCGCGGAGGAGGCGCCGCUGGUGUGUCCCUUGGUGGAGAGGGCGCUGCCGGCCCUGCGCGGUUUCCAGCCAGGAAGCUUCGGGAAGCCUGGUGAGAGCUGAGUGCGCGAAUUCGGAUCUUAGAGAAAGGCACCCCGUUCACCCACGACCCUUCCGCUCCUGCCGCUGCUUCCCUGAGUCGCUCAGGCUGUGGGAAGAUGUUUGUCGGCAUCUUUGAAAAAUUGAUUUCUUAUGCUGCGUCAGGUGGUUUCCUUGUCACUGUGGCUGCUCAGCGGGAGGCUGUUCUGGCGGGAGGAGGACUGCUCGGUUGUCUGGUGGGCAUUCCGCCUCGUGGUCCUGGUCCCUUGAUACCUGCAGGGGAUCAGCAGCCCGCGUUUCGUGGCCACUGUGUUGUAACUCCAACUUCCCCUCCCGCAAAUUAAGCGUAGAGUAAGGGGAGAGAGUAACAUGGGUCGGAUUUUUCUAGAACGGCCCUUGUGACAGUGAGCUUUUUGGUGGCAGGGAGCUUCUUUGGUCCGCCUUCCUGGAGACCAGAUGCAGCAAAACGCAGUCUUUUUCUUUUCGAGACAGAGUCUCAGUUGCCCAGGCUGGAGUGCAGUGGCGCGAUCUCAGCUCACUACCACCUCUGCCUCCUGGGUUCAAGCGACUUUCCUGCUUCAGCCUCCAGAGUAGCUGGGAUUACAGGCGCCAGCCACUAGGCCAGCUAACUUUUUUUUUUUUUUUUUUUAGAGAGACGGGUUUCACCGUGUUGGCCAGGCUGGUUUUGAACUCCUGACCUCAAGUGAUCUGCCCGCCUCGGCCUCCCAAAAAACGCAGUGUUUAUGUGAUGCUCCUCUGUGGUGUUUGCAAGAUUUAUACAAAAUUGCGGUUUCUUUUUUUCUCUAGGACGUCUGCUCACUGGAGAUGACACGUGCGUGGGGUGUUGGGUAAGUUGGUGCAUUGGAGCUGGAACAGGGUCAAUCCUCCAAUGUAACUAAGCCCUCCUGUGCAACAUCUUAAGUGACUGGAGGGACCAGUCGGUCUUGUGUUCACAUUGAGGCUAGAAGCUGUCUCCAGGGGAGUAAAAACGGAUUAUUUAGUCUUCAACAGGACACUGCCCCUAGAGGCGUUGCAGCUGUGGCUGCCGUGUCACAUCUGUGUCAUUAGGUGGCAGAGAUUAGAGAGGCUAUGUCUACGCUCAGCGUUCUGCCCCGUGAACGUUUGAAUGUUUGAUAGUCUCACACUCCUGUUUUGUGGACAGGCAUCUGUUUUCCUUCGCUGGUAUCUGGGAGAGAGGGUGGGCCCUGUGAGUGGGCUUUCUAACUCUCGCGCUGGGCUAGGCUGGCCUCUAGGGGUCUGAAGGGAUAGUGGGAAGGUGGAGGGUGCCUUCACCAGGAGCAGCCUUCAUGAGUGAGUUUUAAGAACCUGUGAGGAUCGGUCAGGUCAGGUGAGGUACGCGCUGGAUCAUGCCGUACACCGUGUCAGGAUCACGCAGGACAGGACUGGGGAAGGGUUUGCUGGCGUCUCGGUUAAUAGCAGUAACGGCAGCCGCUUGUGUUCUUGAUUCUUUGCCAAGCAUUCUUGUUAUUUAACACGGGAAGGAGGUGACUUCGCCUGUGAUGGACUUCCAGUGUGAGCACUGGCCAGAGUGACCAGGCUGACCAGCACCAGCCCUGAUCCAGGUAAGAGGUGAGGCGGAGGCUUGCCCUCCUUCCCUGCCUGCCGGGUGCGUGUGAGCGGCUGCCCUGCGGAUGCUGUCCUGGACCUGUUGGCACCACAGACAGUUGCUCUGCUGUGCCUGUGGCCUCGGGGCAAAGAGAAAGUGGCGAUUUCUACACUCAGUGCUCGGGAACCAGUGGGCACUGAGAAUGGUUUAUGGCCUGACAUUACUUGCAACCAAAGCCAGGCAGCAUUUGGAUUUUCGCUUUUGGAAACCACCUUACCUGGUUUGCUCCAUGAGGGAGGGGCAGCAACAUCGCUGGGAACCCUGAGGUGUAGAUAUGUAUAAAUGAGCUGUGUGUGUAUCUGAAGCUCGGGCACUUGUGGGGUUACCAGGAGUGUGCGUCUCACUCCCAGGCCUCGUUCUGGAAACGAUUCUGUAGGUCUGUCUGGGAGGCCUUAGGCAAGUUUGAUUAAGAACAGUCGAGCUGGAUAAACAGGCUGUUCCUUGUCCAGCACUAGUCAUCCCAGGGGGGCGGGGGCGGGGCUGCAACUCCUGUGCACAAAGGAAGGGCCCUGGGUAGGGGUCAGGAGCUGCCUUGCCCAGAGAUGUGUCUGGGUCACUUUGGAAACAGGAAUCCUCUCCCCAAAAUGGGUAGCAAUGGGGGUACAGAGGCCAAAGACGCAGCUGCAUGUCCUGCAGUGCCUGGGACGCCCCGUAGUGAAGAGUGAUGUGGCCCAAAUGUCAGCAGUGCCAGUGUCAGACUCCUGCUAAGAGACAGUAUCAAGAAAGAUAACUUCAAAAUACACUUUCUGGAGGCCUGGCGCGGUGGCUCAGGCCUGUAAUCCCAGCACUCUGGGAGGCCAAUGCAUGUGGAUCACCUGAGGUCAGGAGUUCGAGACCAGCCUGGCCAACUGCCUGAAACCCCAUCUCUACUAAAAAUACAAAAAUUAGCCAGGUGUGGUGGCGCAAGCCUGUAAUCCCAGCUAUUUGGGAGGCUGAGGCAGGAGAAUCGCUUGAACCCGGGAGGCAGAGGUUGCAGUGAGCCGAGAUCGCACCACUGCACUCCAGCCUGGACAACAGAGUGGGACUCUGUCUCAAAAAAAAAAAAAAAAAAAAAAGUACAGUUUCGGGAUUUCAUAAAUUGGGUUCCCUGAGGGUCAUUUGGUGAAUCCGGGUUAAAGAACCCUGGUCUGCAUCACUGUCCUUGUUUGUUUUUCAGAUGCAGAGGCCAGGAUGUGGGCCCAGCCCUGUGCCAGGAGGCUGGCUGGAAUAAAGGUACAGAUAGAGGCCUCACCCCCUCUGGGACCACUGGCACUCAGGGUGUUUGCAGCCUCAGAGCCCACCUGCCCCCAGGGCCACAGCUGCAUCUCCUGCCCUGCUGUCAUUACAGGGAUGGGCAGGCUGGCAUGGGGGCAGCCGCUGCCCCUGCCUGGGUGUUGCUGUGUAUUCCUGCCGGCCAGGGGCCACUGCCAGGACCACGCCUCCCUUUUCAUAUCCCGAUUCUUAAGUUCUGCUAUUGUGGUAUUCUGGUGGAGAAAAAAGAACCGCGUGGCUGUUUUUGAACUGCCUGGAACCUAAGACCCUGAAUUCUUUUCCCCCCCAAGGGGAAAAUCUAUAUGGAAAACAUUUAUUUUAAAAUACAGGAUGAAGUGAAUUAAAAGAUUUAAAUGCACAUUUCUUUAAGGAUAAUAUUUCUGUGUUGGCAAAAUUUGAGAGUAAAUUGGUCUUGAAUGGAAUGGAUUGUCUUGACUCACACAUUGCGGAGCAGAGCCCGCCCUGAAGAAAGGUGUUGCUGUGGUGGGAUCUUCCCACGAGGGUCCUUGCCUGUUCUCCUAGGGGAUGGUUGCUGGGUGCCCUGGGCUACUGGGGAGAGCGUACGGGGCUGGAGAAGAUGGCCAUUCCUGGGCUGUUUCCUAGGGAAUGAGUUGUACAUCUCAUGGCUGGAUUUUGUAAAAUCAGUUUUUAAAAUACCGCAUAUAUCUGUUUUCUUACUGGAACACCUUUUUCUUGGUCUGUUGUGCACAGCCCAGGUUUGGGGGGUACUGGUCAUUGACUGUUUCAGAAGCCGCUGUGUUUGGGGAACUGCCCUGGCGGCUUCAGAGGUGUGUGUGGGUUGAAGGGCAGGCAGCUCUGCAAUAGACCUCACCUUGGACUAACACCUGAGGGCUGCCUCGCCAGGAAGGAUUCAGGGGCUCAACCCCAGCCUGAGUGCCUGGGCUGGGUGGAUCCACAGCGGGGCGAAGGGUCCCACACACAGCAUCGAUGGGGGCUCAGGGUGCUCAGCCCUGGGCAUUACAUAAAAGCUGUUUAUUGACAUUACGUUCUUCAGAGUAACAAACCCCCUUGGAGGACUCUCCUGCCGGGAUGUCCAUGUCCGCCUUUGCUCCGAGCUGGGGUCUCAUGUCUGUGGUGCUGGAAUCCAGAGCCCUGACGGUAGGGGAGUGAUUUUGCAACACAGUUGCAUUUCACAUCUUCUGACAGGAUUCCUUGAGGGAGGGUUGGACCCUGGCACCUGGCCAGCUCCAGGAAGGGUGGCCAGGCCCCUCACUGCCCCAUCAAGAGUACUUGGUGUUGGAGAUCUUCUUCCAGAGCAGAGUCUUGAGGUGGCUGAGCACCAGCGAGUGAUGGGCCUCCACCUGGCUGGCCAGCCCGCUCAGCGUGGUACAGGUGCGCAGCUGUGUGCCCAGCUCCUCGCGGAGGUCGGCGGGCGCGCCAGGCAGCAGGUAGCCCCGUAGCAGUGCGCACACCUUGGCCAGGUUGGGCUGGAUGAGGUCGCCCUUGCACUGCCUCAUGAGCCUGUCACACGGGGCCCUGCAGUCGCGCCCGUAGGUGCAGUCGGUGCUGUGCUCGCAGCGGCGGCCCUGCAGGAAGCGGCGCACGGUGGCCUCGGGUGCCACCUGCUGCAGGUCGGCCAUCUUGAAGUCGUAGGUGGCUGUGUAGCCCACGUUGGCCAGUGUGGUCUCACACAUGUAGAAAGUCCCGUAAGAGCCGUGGAAGAGCUCCUCCACGAACUCCAGCAGGCCGAUGGCGAUCUUGGCCCGCCAAGGCCACGCAGGCCCCAGCCACUGCUGGAGAGCACCCUGCAGGGCAGGCGGCAGCAGUGGGCGCAACAGGGGUGGAAGGGCGGCCGCGUGCCAGGCGCCAUGCGGCACGCCCUCGGUGAGGUAGAGGUCCCCACAGUAGCCCAGCAGUCUGGAGGCGUGCUCCUUCUCCUGCAGGGACAGCAGCAGCAGGAACUCGUUACGCUGCAGCAGGGCCCACACGGACUUGGCUUCCGCCAGGGACACCCGGUUGUCCUUGUUGAAGUCAGCCAUGAGCAGGACCUGGCCAACCAGCGCCGGCAGGGAAGGCAGGUCUCCCAGGUUCGCCUGGCGUUUGGGACCAAAAGAAAGGAAAAGCCAGCUGAUUUGAUGUCUGGGAGCACGACCUGGCCUUUACCUGGUCCUCCUGGCGGGGUGGUCUGCCGGCCAGACCAGCACAUCUGCCAGGUUAGGGGUCCCAGCCCACAGCUACACGGGUGGAGGACGCAGCCAGCAAUGUGUCAGCUCACUCUGCUGGCCUGUGUGGCUGCUGCCAGACAGACCUCCCGCCUCCUGGCAGCCUUGGGUGCACCUGGGGAGCUCGGGGGUGGGCACCUGGGCAGAGAAGCCUCAGAGCUUCCCUGAGGAUGAGAAUCGGCACAGGGCAGAGGGCACGCACUGGCUGAAGCCCUGGGAAGCGGCCCCUUUCCACAAGCCCUGGUCUCCAUUCGGGGCACCUGCCCUGCUGGACACACGGCCCUUGACUGCAGGAGCCUCCCCUCGACCUCAGCUGCCAGCCCACCGGCGCCCCCAACCCUUGCCCCCAGCCCUGGAGAGGCUCCUUCCCUGGCAGGGCUCAUGCCCAGGGGCUGGGGGAUGGGAGGUCUGCCCAGGGUCCACUUGGGCCCAUCUGUGCCUUUGCGCUGGGCAUGUUGGUGCCAGGGCCGCCUGCUGGGCAUAUGACCGUGGUGUGGACUCCUGCCCUGCCCCCUAGGAGAGCUGCCUGACCUUGAGGAAGCUGAGGGUCAUCUCCCGGAAUUCCUUGAUGGAGGUGCCCCGGGUGGGCUUGUCAAACAGUACCAGCUCCCGCCGGGGGGCCGCAUCCGACCGGGCCUUGGAGUCGAGGGUCUCCUCAAUGCCACACUUGAUGGUUACAUCCUUGUCCCGCCAGAGCCCGCUGUACACCUGGACAGGGCCACAGAGGUCCUCCGUGCAGACAUCCCCCUCCCACUGCACGGGCAGUAUCAGCCCCAGGCCCACCCGCCCUGCCAGUGGCUAUACCUGCUGGCCCGGGGCCACCGAGAGGCAGGUCCUCCACUCCACCAUAUGCAGCUCACACAGGUCCUGGCAGACGGAGCCCGAGAUGAUCCCCUUGCGGUACUGGUCACACUGAGGAGACAGGUGCAGGCGUGCCGGGCGGGGCAGCCACACCCCUGCCCCACUGAGCCCCUGCCCACAGGCCCGAAGCUGGCAGGGGCCUCCACUUGCUGCAGUUGGAAAGCUGCCAGCCCCUCACACAGGCAGUGCCGGGGCCCUGGGUCAUGCCAUUGGUGGCUGCAGGAUGGGGCUGUCGGCUGCAGGGGCAGCCCCGCCAACCCUCCGGUCCGGUCCCGUCCCCACCAUCCUGGCUCCUGUAACAGGACGGCACAGCAAAGGCCACUGCCUGGACAUGAGACACACACCACACCCAGUGUCGACCCCACGCCAGGGCCAGAGGCAGGAACCUGGAGGCAGCUCUCCGCCCAGCCGACCCAGCUCUGGACCAUCCAGGCAUUGGCCGGUGAACUAGAAUUCACACUAGUCCCUAAUAUCUACACCACCAGCUGCCACACGCGCGCUCUCUGCCUGACUCUUCAUUCCUGCCUCGGGUGACGCCAGGAGGGAGGAUGCACCCCCUGACUCAUGGCGCCCUCCCUGCCCGGAAUAGUAAGUGAGACAUUUCUGAACUUGUUUCCUAUGAUGGUGCUGACUGGACUGCGUCUUCCAUCUGAAGGGCCAGGAGCUGCCCCACCCAGGCAGGGCUUUCCCUGGGACGCCAGGAAGAACAAAAGGGUGGGCUCUUGGUGCCAGAGCGAUGGAUGGUCAGGCUGGCAGAACCUGGACAGGAGUCAGACACGAGCCAUAGGGCCUCUGUCAGAGAAGCAACCCCCUGGACACAGGGCAAACAGCUGGGUGUCAUCCCGUGAAGGGCACCGCGUCCAGCCCCUCUGCUCCCCGUCAGGGCGGGCUGCCAGCCAUUCUGCACUGGGCACUCAUGGGGGCUCUCACGACAGAUCCUGAUGCCCAGAGCCACACCUGCAUGGCAGCUUCUGGCUGGGUUUCCACUAAUCUCAGGUGUGGGUCUCCUCCUGUCCCAAGGACUUGGCCUCCCUCUUUGGCCCGGCCCAGCCUUCCCCAGGCUGAGGCAGGAGGACAGGCUGCGGCCUCACUGUUUGCCUCAAGUGCAGCCAGGACAGGGCUCACCACCAGAGCUGACAGUCUCAAGGGUACCCCUGGGGUGGAGCCGGCAACGGAGCCCCAGCCUCUACCUCCUCUCCCAGCCCUCCGAGGCCAGUGCCCAGGCUCAAGCGCUCCGUUGUCAGAGCUGUUUGUCAAGGCUGAGAAAACGGACCCCUGGGGCCCCACAAUGACUCCGGGCCUGUCCUUCCCUGUCCCACAGGCCCCCUCCUUAGCCAGACCCCCAGGGAGACUUUGUUAGCAGUAAUUACAUCAGGCCUGGGGCUGGCUGCCGCCCCUCCUCAGCCCCCACCCUAGCUCCAGGGGCCUGGCAGCCCCUCAAUCCCAGCGCCCCACGGGAGGUGAUGGAGGGAUGGAGCUGGCCCGCCCCUCUGGGGGGGGGAGAAUUCCUGGAUGUACAGCCUCAGUUGCCAUGGAGCCUGGCCAAGCAGGCUUGGAGGGAGCUGGGGAAGGGAGCUGCGGAACACCCCGCCCUCCAGGGUUGGGGAGGAGGGAGGGUCCCCGCCCCCCACACACCAAGGAUGGGGACAGAAGUGAGAUGGGCCAACUGGAGGCCGAGGACCCCGCCACGUGAGUCAUGAAGGCAGCGUCUGUCCCGGCAGCAAGAAAACGCCGGCUCUUCGUCAAGACAGAAAAGGAAAAUGAAGGAAAACUGCACACUUGUCCAACCCUCCACCUUGCAGGCAGGCCCUUUGCCACCGGAGUCCACUCCCGUCCCCAGACCAGCCAGCUCCCUGCA